UACGUAGGGUGCAAGCGUUGUCCGGAAUUAUUGGGCGUAAAGAGCUCGUAGGCGGUUUGUCGCGUCGGGAGUGAAAACCUCGGGCUUAACUCGGGGCUUGCUUUCGAUACGGGCAGACUAGAGGUAUGCAGGGGAGAACGGAAUUCCUGGUGUAGCGGUGAAAUGACGCAGAUAUCAGGAGGAACACCGGUGGCGAAGGCGGUUCUCUGGGCAUGAUCUGACGCUGAGGAGCGAAAGUGUGGGGAGCGAACAGG
rnacentral:rRNA from 1 species